rnacentral:lncRNA from 1 species
GCAAAUGCAAUGCCUAGGUAGUGCUAGCUAAAAUCUCGUGCAUUGUAAUUGAAUUCAUAUAUUCCCCAUCUUCUCCCUAGACACCUAUUCCCCCACACACUUGCCAUGUCAUCGCAUUCAAGCCAGCCUGUUUCCACGUGGCAUUUCUGAAUUUUUAGGCCCACAAUCCCAAAGACUCUCCGCUCCUCCUCCACUUUCACACCAGGAUAGAUUUUGGAGGCUGCUCUUUGUUUUUUUGUUUCUCUGUUCUUCUGGA